rnacentral:rRNA from 1 species
CGGGCCCUACGGGAGGCAGCAGUGAGGAAUAUUGGUCAAUGGGCGCGAGCCUGAACCAGCCAAGUAGCGUGAAGGAUGACUGCCCUACGGGUUGUAAACUUCUUUUAUAAAGGAAUAAAGUGAUGCACGUGUGCCUUUUUGUAUGUACUUUAUGAAUAAGGAUCGGCUAACUCCGUGCCAGCAGCCGCGGUAAUACGGAGGAUCCGAGCGUUAUCCGGAUUUAUUGGGUUUAAAGUGAGCGUAGAUGGGUUGUUAAGUCAGUUGUG